UCUCGUGAACCAUUGAGUCUUUGAACGCAAGUUGUGCCCGAGGCCUUGUGGUCGAGGGCACGCCUGCUUGGGCGUCACGA
rnacentral:rRNA from 1 species